AUUGAACGCUGGCGGCAUGCUUUACACAUGCAAGUCGAACGGUAACAGGCCUUCGGGUGCUGACGAGUGGCGAACGGGUGAGUAAUGCAUCGGAACCUGCCUCGUUGUGGGGGAUAACGUAGGGAAACUUACGCUAAUACCGCAUACGACCUACGGGUGAAAGUGGGGGACCUUCGGGCCUCACGCGAUGAGAUGAGCCGAUGCCGGAUUAGCUAGUUGGCGGGGUAAAGGCCCACCAAGGCGACGAUCCGUAGCUGGUCUGAGAGGAUGAUCAGCCACACUGGAACUGAGACACGGUCCAGACUCCUACGGGAGGCAGCAGUGGGGAAUAUUCCCCAAUGGCCGAAAGGCUGAGGGAGCGACGCCGCGUGCAGGAAUAAGGCCU
rnacentral:rRNA from 1 species